rnacentral:rRNA from 1 species
CGGCUAACUACGUGCCAGCAGCCGCGGUAAUACGUAGGGAGCGAGCGUUGUCCGGAAUUACUGGGCGUAAAGGGCGCGUAGGCGGCGCUUCAAGUCGUCUGUCAAAAGCCGAGGCUCAACCUCGGCGCGCAGACGAAACUGGAGAGCUUGAGAAGCAGAGAGGCAAACAGAAUUCCUGGUGUAGCGGUGAAAUGCGUAGAUAUCAGGAAGAAUACCAGUGGCGAAGGCGGUUUGCUGGCUGCAUACUGACGCUGAAGCGCGAAAGCCAGGGGAGCAAACGGGAUUAGAUACCCCGGUAGUCCUGGCAGUAAACGAUGUAUGCUGGGUGUGGGACUAGCGAUAGUUCCGUGCCGAAGUUAACGCGAUAAGCAUACCGCCUGGGGAGUACGGUCGCAAGAUUGAAACUCAAAGGAAUUGACGGGGGCCCGCACAAGCGGUGGAGCACGUGGUUUAAUUCGAUGCAAACCGAAGAACCUUACCUGGACUUGACAUCCACGCGGUAGAGAAGCGAAAGCGGAUCGACCCUUUCGCAAGGAAGGGAACGUGAACAGGUGCUGCAUGGCUGUCGUCAGCUCGUGUCGUGAGAUGUUGGGUUAAGUCCCGCAACGAGCGCAACCCCUAUUGCCGGUUGCUACCAGAUAAAGCUGAGCACUCCGGCGAGACUGCCAUCGACAAGAUGGAGGAAGGUGGGGACGACGUCAAGUCAUCAUGGCCCAUAUGUCCAGGGCGACACACAUGCUACAAUGGAUGGUACAGAGAGAAGCGAGCCCGAAAGGAGAAGCAGAUCCCAAAAAGCCAUCCCCAGUUCGGAUUGCAGUCUGCAACUCGACUGCAUGAAGUUGGAAUCGCUAGUAAUCGCGGAUCAGCCAAGCCGCGGUGAAUACGUUCCCGGGCCUUGUACACACCGCCCGUCACACCAUCCGAGUCGGGUGCUCUCAAAGCCGGAGGCCUAACCGCGAGGAAGGAUCCGCCUAAAGAGUGUCCGGUGAGGAGGGUGAAGUCGUAACAAGGUAACC